GGCUAAUUAAUUCAGUCUGAAAUAGCUGUCGUCUUAAUGCUUAUUUGAGUUCACAUGUAGCAACUGUUAUUUGCAGGUUGGCAACUGUUACUUGCAGGUUGGCUCGCAAGACACUUUGAAAACUUUGCUUUUUAAGAUAUUACUGCAGACAAAAGCAAGCGCAGUGCAGCCAUGGGCGGCGCUAUAGGCUAAGGGAAGCUUAUGCUGCGUUUGAGUUACCUCCGAAGUCAGA